rnacentral:piRNA from 1 species
UCGAAGUGACUACAGUUUAAC